GUAGCGCUCAAUUCUCUAUUUGUUGCAGCUGAUGAAUGUGGGUUAAGUACUAAAUAGCAAGUCAUGCAGAGUGCUAUCAGUACCCUAGAUUGGCUAGCUUGCUUUAAUUUAAAUACCUUCUUUUUGUACAAUAUUUGAUUAGGGGUUUAAUGCUUGUCAUAUGGUAGAUGAAACCAAAGACUGAGAAAAGCCGUUUUAGUUCAUGAUUCUUUUAAACUAAAGUUGCUUUGAUAGUAAGCUAUCUGUAAGCUCUAUUCUCACCUCAUGCUCUACUAAAAUUUGCCUCUCUUGCAACAAAAAGCAUGGGAAUUUGGAAACCAUUCAGAAUUCCACACAAGUGACUAUGCAGCUUGAAAAGAUCCUUCAGAAGAUGGAUUUGAGGACAAUCAGGAAAGGCAAAAAUCAUGGCUAACCACAUGGCUUUUUCAGUGAAGAGGUGUUUCAAAUCAAAUGGUGAAUUUUUGCUGAAUUUCUGCUAUUCAACUGCUGUUUUCCAGCUGUGCAAACAAGAAAAAAAUUAACAUGAGCUAAGCUGCCUGGAAGUCAAAGCAGAAGUGUGGACUUAACGCAGUUCCUAUGCUGGGACUGCUGCCACCUCCUGAAAUUCCUCAGAGGGACAACAGGUACUGUUCUCGUGAAGUUGUUGAAAGACAAAACGUUCAGGCCUGAAACAUUUUUUCCAAAUACUCGUCUAGAAACCCUCUUUCCUAGAAUGAUUUUGAUGAAAAAGAGGUAAUUCACUGUGAGCGAGUGGAGGGCAGGGGAAGUGAUCAUCCUUAUAUGGAAUUUAGUGCAAAAGCUAGAAGAAGGAAAGUUGGUGCCACUAGCAAAACUGUAGCUUUACCAUAUAAAAUGUCUCACUAGCAUAUCAAUGAGAGCAGAUGCAUUCACCAUAUUCUGCUUCACACUAUCUUAAUGAUAUAUGGGUCUAAAAACUACCAUACUGAUAAGCUGCGAGCAGCAGUUUUUAGGAAGGGUGCAUUUAUUUCCUCUCUCAAUAUAGAAAUUAUAAUAUGAAAACCACUUUUAAAACUGGGGGAGAACUACAGCGUAAAUUUGAAAACAAAUGACAGUUUGAUCUGUGGCGCAGUAGUUUUAAAUUUUGGUGGUAACUGUUCUUAGAAU
rnacentral:lncRNA from 1 species